AUUGAACGCUGGCGGCAGGCCUAACACAUGCAAGUCGAACGAGUGGCGGACGGGUGAGUAAUGUCUGGGAAACUGCCCGAUGGAGGGGGAUAACUACUGGAAACGGUAGCUAAUACCGCAUACCAUCGGAUGUGCCCAGAUGGGAUUAGCUAGUAGGUGGGGUAAUGGCUCACCUAGGCGACGAUCCCUAGCUGGUCUGAGAGGAUGACCAGCCACACUGGAACUGAGACACGGCCCAGACUCCUACGGGAGGCAGCAGUGGGGAAUCUUCCGCAAUGGACGAAAGUCUGACGGAGCAACGCCGCGUGUAUGAAGAAGGCCUUCGGGUUGUAAAGUACUUUCAGCGAGGAGGCGUUACUCGCAGAAGAAGCACCGGCUAACUCCGUGCCAGCAGCCGCGGUAAUAC
rnacentral:rRNA from 1 species